CUACGGGGGGCUCCAGUGAGGAAUAUUGCACAAUGGGGGGAACCCUGAUGCAGCAACGCCGCGUGGAGGAUGACGCAUUUCGGUGUGUAAACUCCUUUUAUAUGUCAAGAAAAUGACGGUAGCAUAUGAAUAAGCACCGGCUAACUCCGUGCCAGCAGCCGCGGUAAUACGGAGGGUGCAAGCGUUACUCGGAAUCACUGGGCGUAAAGGACGCGUAGGCGGGUUGGAAAGUCAGGUGUGAAAUCCUACAGCUUAACUGUAGAACUGCACUUGAAACUUCUAAUCUAGAGUAUGGGAGGGGGAGAUGGAAUUAGUGGUGUAGGGGUGAAAUCCGUAGAUAUCACUAGGAAUACCUAAAGCGAAGGCAAUCUCCUGGAACAUUACUGACGCUAAGGCGUGAAAGCGUGGGGAGCAAACAGGAUUAGAUACCCUUGUAGUC
rnacentral:rRNA from 1 species